AAUGAUGUUAUUUUAAUGAAAUCUGACAUAUAUUUACCCUUUUGCUUCAGGGAAAUAGCAUUUGU